AUUGAACGCUGGCGGCAUGCCUUACACAUGCAAGUCGAACGGCAGCACGGGCUUCGGUCUGGUGGCGAGUGGCGAACGGGUGAGUAAAGUAUCGGAACGUACCUUUCAGUGGGGGAUAACGUAGCGAAAGUUACGCUAAUACCGCAUAUUCUGUGAGCAGGAAAGCAGGGGAUCGCAAGACCUUGCGCUGAUUGAGCGGCCGAUAUCAGAUUAGCUAGUUGGUGGGGUAAAGGCCUACCAAGGCGACGAUCUGUAGCGGGUCUGAGAGGAUGAUCCGCCACGCUGGAACUGAGACACGGUCCAGACUCCUACGGGAGGCAGCAGUGGGGAAUUUUGGAAGAUGGGGGCAACCCUGAUCCAGCCAUGCCGCGUGAGUGAAGAAGGCCUUCGGGUUGUAAAGCUCUUUCGGCCGGGAAGAAAUCGCAUGGGCUAAUACCCUGUGUGGAUGACGGUACCGGAAUAAGAAGCACCGGCUAACUACGUGCCAGCCGCCGCGGUAACAC
rnacentral:rRNA from 1 species